UAGGGAAUCUUCGGCAAUGGGGGGAACCCUGACCGAGCAACGCCGCGUGAGUGAAGAAGGUUUUCGGAUCGUAAAGCUCUGUUGUUAAGGAAGAACGAGUGUGAGAAUGGAAAGUUCAUACUGUGACGGUACUUAACCAGAAAGGGACGGCUAACUACGUGCCAGCAGCCGCGGUAAUACGUAGGUCCCGAGCGUUGUCCGGAUUUAUUGGGCGUAAAGCGAGCGCAGGCGGUUAGAAAAGUCUGAAGUGAAAGGCAGUGGCUCAACCAUUGUAGGCUUUGGAAACUGUUUAACUUGAGUGCAUAAGGGGAGAGUGGAAUUCCAUGUGUAGCGGUGAAAUGCGUAGAUAUAUGGAGGAACACCGGUGGCGAAAGCGGCUCUCUGGUCUGUAACUGACGCUGAGGCUCGAAAGCGUGGGGAGCGAACAGG
rnacentral:rRNA from 1 species